rnacentral:tRNA from 2 species
AACGAUUCUUCCGGGAAAAUUUUGUCUUGAAAACAAACUUUAUGUGUUCGACUCACUUAAUCGUUU